rnacentral:rRNA from 1 species
GACGAACGCUGGCGGCGUGCUUAACACAUGCAAGUCGAACGGAAAGGCCCCUUUGGGGGUCCUCGAGUGGCGAACGGGUGAGUAACACGUGAGUAACCUGCCCUUUACUUCGGGAUAACUUCAGGAAACUGGGGCUAAUACCGGAUAGGAAUCCUUGCUGCAUGGUGGGGGUUGGAAAGCUUCGGCGGCUUUGGAUGGACUCGCGGCCUAUCAGCUUGUUGGUGGGGUAGUGGCUUACCAAGGCUUUGACGGGUAGCCGGCCUGAGAGGGCGACCGGCCACAUUGGGACUGAGAUACGGCCCAGACUCCUACGGGAGGCAGCAGUGGGGAAGAUUGCACCAGGGGCGGAAGCCUGAUGCAGCAACGCCGCGGGCGGGAUGACGGCCUUCGGGUUGUAAAACGCUUUCAGCAGGGGCGAAGCUUGUGGUGACGGUACCUGAAGAAGAAGCACCGGCUAACUACGUG